UACGGAGGGGGCUAGCGUUGUUCGGAAUUACUGGGCGUAAAGAGCACGUAGGCGGCUUUGCAAGUUAGAGGUGAAAGCCCGGGGCUCAACUCCGGAAUUGCCUUUAAAACUGCAUCGCUAGAAUUGUGGAGAGGUAAGUGGAAUUCCGAGUGUAGAGGUGAAAUUCGUAGAUAUUCGGAAGAACACCAGUGGCGAAGGCGAUUUACUGGACACAAAUUGACGCUGAGGUGCGAAAGCGUGGGGAGCAAACAGG
rnacentral:rRNA from 1 species